GAUGAACGCUAGCGGCAGGCUUAAUACAUGCAAGUCGAACGGUAAGGUCUCUUCGGAGAUACACGAGUGGCGCACGGGUGCGUAACGCGUAUGCGACCUACCUUUAACUGGGAAAUAGCCCCGAGAAAUCGGGAUUAAUGUCCCAUAUUAUUCUUUGAAUACCUAUUCGAGGAAUGAACGCUCCGGCGGUUAUUGAUGGGCAUGCGUGACAUUAGCUAGUUGGUGAGGUAACGGCUCACCAAGGCAACGAUGUCUAGGGGUCCUGAGAGGGUUAACCCCCACACUGGUACUGAGACACGGACCAGACUCCUACGGGAGGCAGCAGUAAGGAAUAUUGGGCAAUGGACGCAAGUCUGACCCAGCCAUGCCGCGUGAAGGAUGAAUGCCCUAUGGAUUGUAAACUUCUUUUAUGCAGGAAAAAUAUCCCGGUCGUGAACCGGGACUGAUGGUACUGUAUGAAUAAGCAUCGGCUAACUCCGUGCCAGCAGCCGCCGUAA
rnacentral:rRNA from 1 species